rnacentral:misc_RNA from 1 species
UCCGUAGGUGAACCUGCGGAAGGAUCAUUAAAAUAAUACUUACACUUUGCAUUUGCGAACAAAAAAAAGAACAUUACACUUCUAAUAUAUUUUUAUCAAAACUUUCAACAACGGAUCUCUUGGUUCUCGCAUCGAUGAAGAACGCAGCGAAUUGCGAUACGUAGUAUGACUUGCAGACGUGAAUCAUCGAAUCUUUGAACGCACAUUGCGCCUCGAGGCAUUCCUCGAGGCAUGCCUGUUUGAGCGUCGCAUCCCCUCUAACCCCCGGUUAGGCGUUGCUCCGAAAUAUCAACCGCGCUGUCAAACACGUUUACAGCACGACAUUUCGCCCUCAAAUCAGGUAGGACUACCCGCUGAACUUAAGCAUAUCAAUAAGCGGAGGAAAAGA